UAGACUUAAAAAGAUUUUAUAUAGAAACUUUGGAAAAUGUUCCAUUAAAAGUUGAAGUGGAAUGUUUGCUGAAAAUUGUAGACUAGUUGUUGUUCACAGGAAAAUGGAGUUUGUAUAAUGUUAAUUGGAGCUCAAAGUUUGAACUGUAUACUGUUUUGAACUUUGUCAGACUUGCACUUCAUCUCUGAAACUGAACUCAGGAAUGACAGGUUUUUGGUCGAAUUUCAGAGCUCUCUAUCCCUCAAUCCGUGAAUCCUUUGAUGAAAGUUCUUAUCUAGCAGUUGUAUCCCUUUGAUCCAGCUACAACUUUG
rnacentral:lncRNA from 1 species